rnacentral:tRNA from 1 species
UAGGUUGUAGUUUAGUUGAAGAAUCAGGGCUUUGGGUGUCCUAGGAGCCUUUUUGGUCAGCCU